GCUGAAAACGAAUGAAUCGAUAAUGUAUUCGUAAACGUAAUGAUAACUUUAUAAAGUGCAAAAAAAAAAAAUAUAUCAUUUUUUAAAUAAAUAUAAUAUUUUCCGCCGAGAAAAACACGCAGUUUCCGUUCUUGAUUAAGUGAGGUAUAUACUGCAAGCGGAUACGCGUUCGGGUGGACAUCUGGGACAGGAGUAUUUAUUUAGGAAGGUACUUGAAAGAAAAUUGAUAAACGAUCACGUCUGUAAAACGAUUCUUAGUGGUAUGGAACCAAAAAAAAAUGGUCGAGAUUUUCUUAAAAAUAGGUGUCAGUUCACGAGUUUAACAAUAUACUAUGCUCAAUAUUCAACCAAAAGACAUUUUUGGAUGAUUUUUAUUAUUUCAAAUAUAGUUUUCCUAUGCGGAAGAAUGAGAAAAAAUAUCAUUCAUUGUAAAUAGUUUCUACGCUCCAUUCAAAAUCUAAAAGCAGACACGUCUGUUUGUUUCUGAGAAGGACAUACGUCACAUGGAAAACACAAUAAAGUUUAACGGGGAUAGUGACAAAAAGAAGAAUUCAAUGCGUUUAAACGUAUUUUAAGCAAGUUUUAAUUUCGGAAAUAAAUUAUAAGACUGAUAAUUCGCAAAGUAUCAAUUUGGAAAUAUCCUUAUUGUUAGCGCGUUCUAAUUAAUUCAGAAUUUCUAUGUUUUAAAGUGACUCAUUAUUAUACGUAAAUAUGCAUUCAUUUAUAUUUUAAUAGUAGUUUUUGCGUAUUUGACUUGUAAGGAUAAGUAUAAAUUUAAGUUCAAAAUUUUUAAAGAAUAAUUUGAACAUUAUUUUAAACUUUAAGAGCUGAAAAUAUGUUUAUAAACGGCAUUGUAUUUAAUUGU